UACGUAGGGUGCAAGCGUUGUCCGGAAUUAUUGGGCGUAAAGAGCUCGUAGGCGGUUUGUCGCGUCGAAUGUGAAAACCCGGGGCUCAACCCCGGGCCUGCAUUCGAUACGGGCAGACUAGAGUUCGGGAGAGGGAUGCGGAAUUCCAGGUGUAGCGGUGAAAUGCGUAGAUAUCUGGAGGAACACCGGUGGCGAAGGCGGCAUCCUGGACCGACACUGACGCUGAGGCGCGAAAGCUAGGGUAGCAAACGGGG
rnacentral:rRNA from 1 species